rnacentral:rRNA from 1 species
GUAAAGCGCGCGUAGGCGGUUUGUUAAGUCAGAUGUGAAAUCCCCGGGCUCAACCUGGGAAUGGCAUUUGAGACUGGCAGGCUAGAGUAUGGUAGAGGUGAGUGGAAUUUCAGGUGUAGCGGUGAAAUGCGUAGAGAUCUGAAGGAACAUCAGUGGCGAAGGCGACUCACUGGGCCAUUACUGACGCUGAGGUGCGAAAGCGUGGGUAGCAAACAGGAUUAGAUACCCUGGUAGUCCACGCCCUAAACGAUGUCAACUAGGUGUAUGGAGAAAAUAUUCUUUGUGUAUCGAAGCUAACGCGAUAAGUUGACCGCCUGGGGAGUACGGUCGCAAGACUAAAACUCAAAUGAAUUGACGGGGGCCCGCACAAGCGGUGGAGCAUGUGGUUUAAUUCGAUGCAACGCGAAGAACCUUACCUGGCCUUGACAUG